CCUACGGGGGGCUGCAGUGGGGAAUAUUGGACAAUGGGGGCAACCCUGAUCCAGCCAUGCCGCGUGUGUGAAGAAGGCCCUCGGGUUGUAAAGCACUUUCAGUGAGGAAGAACGCCUGGUGGUUAAUACCCAUCAGGAAAGACAUCACUCACAGAAGAAGCACCGGCUAACUCCGUGCCAGCAGCCGCGGUAAUACGGAGGGUGUGAGCGUUAAUCGGAAUUACUGGGCGUAAAGCGCGCGUAGGUGGCUUGAUAAGCCGGUUGUGAAAGCCCCGGGCUCAACCUGGGAACGGCAUCCGGAACUGUCAAGCUAGAGUGCAGGAGAGGAAGGUAGAAUUCCCGGUGUAGCGGUGAAAUGCGUAGAGAUCGGGAGGAAUACCAGUGGCGAAGGCGGCCUUCUGGACUGACACUGACACUGAGGUGCGAAAGCGUGGGUAGCAAACAGGAUUAGAUACCCCAGUAGUC
rnacentral:rRNA from 1 species